rnacentral:rRNA from 1 species
UGAGUAACACGUGAGUGACCUGCCUUUUAGACUGGAACAACUUACCGAAAGGUGAGCAAAUGCCGGAUGAGUUAUAUAAGUGCAUGUUUAUAUAGGAAAAGUUGGGGAGACCUGACGCUGAAAGAUGGACUCGCGUCCCAUUAGCUAGUUGGUAGGGUAAUGGCCUACCAAGGCGACGAUGGGUAGCCGGCCUGAGAGGGUGGCCGGCCACACUGGGAUUGAGACACGGCCCAGACUCCUACGGAAGGCAGCAG